CACGUCAGCGCAAUUUGCUGACAUGCAACAAAUCGCGCCCUCUAGGACACGACUUGUUGCCACGUCAGCAAAUCGUGCUGACGUGG
rfam:Gossypium hirsutum cultivar TM-1 chromosome 15, whole genome shotgun sequence